CAGUAGCCGCGGUAAUACGGAGGGAGCUAGCGUUGUUCGGAAUUACUGGGCGUAAAGCGCGCGUAGGCGGUUACUCAAGUCAGAGGUGAAAGCCCGGGGCUCAACCCCGGAACUGCCUUUGAAACUAGGUGACUAGAAUCUUGGAGAGGUCAGUGGAAUUCCGAGUGUAGAGGUGAAAUUCGUAGAUAUUCGGAAGAACACCAGUGGCGAAGGCGACUGACUGGACAAGUAUUGACGCUGAGGUGCGAAAGCGUGGGGAGCAAACAGGAUUAGAUACCCGUGUAGUCCCUGUCUCUUAUAA
rnacentral:rRNA from 1 species